GACGAACGCUGGCGGCGUGCUUAACACAUGCAAGUCGAGCGGUAAGGCCCUUUCGGGGGUACACGAGCGGCGAACGGGUGAGUAACACGUGGGUGACCUGCCUUUAGCUCUGGGAUAAGCCUGGGAAACUGGGUCUAAUACCGGAUAUGACUCCGCGGUGCAUGCUGUGGGGUGGAAAGCCUUGUGCGGCUGGAGAUGGGCCCGCGGCCUAUCAGCUUGUUGGUGGGGUGANGGCCUACCAAGGCGACGACGGGUAGCCGGCCUGAGAGGGCGACCGGCCACACUGGGACUGAGACACGGCCCAGACUCCUACGGGAGGCAGCAGUGGGGAAUCUUGCGCAAUGGGCGAAAGCCUGACGCAGCGACGCCGCGUGAGGGAUGACGGCCUCGGUGU
rnacentral:rRNA from 1 species